UACGUAGGGUGCAAGCGUUGUCCGGAAUUACUGGGCGUAAAGAGUUCGUAGGCGGUUUGUCGCGUCGUUUGUGAAAACCAGCAGCUCAACUGCUGGCUUGCAGGCGAUACGGGCAGACUUGAGUACUGCAGGGGAGACUGGAAUUCCUGGUGGUAGCGGUGAAAAUGCGCAGAUAUCAGGAGGAACACCGGUGGCGAAGGCGGGUCUCUGGGCAGUGAACUG
rnacentral:rRNA from 1 species